rnacentral:rRNA from 1 species
AACGAACGCUGGCGGCAGGCCUAACACAUGCAAGUCGAACGCACCGCAAGGUGAGUGGCGCACGGGUGAGUAACACGUGGGAAUGUACCCUUUGGUUCGGAAUAACGUUUGGAAACGAACGCUAAUACCGGAUGAGCCCUGCGGGGGAAAGAUUUAUCGCCAAAGGAGCAGCCCGCGUCUGAUUAGCUAGUUGGUGGGGUAAAGGCCUACCAAGGCGACGAUCAGUAGCUGGUCUGAGAGGAUGAUCAGCCACACUGGGACUGAGACACGGCCCAGACUCCUACGGGAGGCAGCAGUGGGGAAUAUUGGACAAUGGGCGCAAGCCUGAUCCAGCCAUGCCGCGUGAGUGAUGAAGGCCUCGGGUUGUAAAGCUCUUUCGCACGCGACGAUGAUGACGGUAGCGUGAGAAGAAGCCCCGGCUAACUUCGUGCCAGCAGCCGCGGUAAU